rnacentral:rRNA from 1 species
GACGAACGCUGGCGGCGUGCUUAACACAUGCAAGUCGAACGGUGAAGCGCCUUCCUUUUUGGUGGGUGUGGAUGAGUGGCGAACGGGUGAGUAACACGUGAGUAACCUGCCCCCUUCUUCUGGAUAACCGCAUGAAAGUGUGGCUAAUACGGGAUAUUCUGGGUCUGUCGCAUGAUGGGUCUGGGAAAGAUCUUGUUUCGGUGGGGGAUGGGCUCGCGGCCUAUCAGCUUGUUGGUGGGGUGAUGGCCUACCAAGGCGGUGACGGGUAGCCGGCCUGAGAGGGUGGACGGUCACAGGGGGACUGAGACGCGGCCGAGACUCGUACGGGAGGCAGCAGUGGGGAAUAUUGCACAAUGGGAGCAAGCCUGAUGCAGCGACGCCGCGUGAGGGAUGGAGGCCUUCGGGUUGUGAACCUCUUUCGCCAGUGAAGCAGGCCUGCCUCGUUUGUGGGUGGGUUGACGGUAGCUGGAGAAGAAGCGCCGGCUAACUACGUG